ensembl:lncRNA novel transcript
UACCUUCAAAAGAUCAACUUUCUUAGCUCCCACAUAUGAGUGAAAACAUGUGAUAUUCCUCUUUCUGUACUUGGCUUAUUUCACUUAAUGUCCUCCAGUUCCAUCCAUGUUGCUGCAAAUAACACGAUUCCAAUUUUUUAUGGCCGAAUAGUAUUCCACUUUGUGUAUAUACCACGUUUUUUAAUCCAUUCAUCAAUUGAUGCAUGCUUACAUGGAUUCCAUCUCUUUGCUAUUAUGAAUAGUGCUGCAAUAAGCAUGGGGCACAGGUAUCCUUCUGAUACAUUGAUUUCACUUCCUUUGAUUAAAUACCCAGUAGUGGGAUUCAGAUAUAUUUUUAUUUAUUUUAAUUUAAUUUUAUUACAGCCAGCAAGAAUAGUUCAUCUUAUUUCACUGCUUUUAAAUGUGCUGAGACUUGCUUUAUGGCAAAAAUAUGGUCUUUCUUGGUGAAUGGUUCAUGUGCACCUGAAAACAAUGUACAACUGCUGCUGCUAUUGGGUAGAUUGUUCUAAAAAUGUCAACUGGGUCUCAUUAGUUGACACUGUUCAUCAAGUCUUCUAUUUCCUUACUAAUUUUUACUAUCUUUAUUCUGAACACUACAACAUAACUAAUGCAAUCUUAGAUUAAGUAGACUUUUUUGUUGGUGGUAACUAUAUCACUCUGUUAACAUAGAAUUUAUAAUCUACUAAAAUUCCAAUUAUUUUUCAUAUUUGCUAUUAAUCUUGACAUCUUAAAAUAUUAUUUGUAUUUUUAGUUGAGAAUUUCAUAGUAAUAUUAUAAGACUAUUCAUUUAGGUCUAUCAAAUUCCAUUUUUGUAUAUGCAGUCCAUCUUUAGAACCUGUCAAGGGCUUGGUGGAGCUAACUCUUUUCCUAGUAUAUUAGCUAGGCAGGUUGAAAUCAUGAUAUUGGGAAUUGAUCAGAAAGCCACGAUGCUCUUGAACAAAUAAUUAUUAGACAUGUAGAAGCAGAUAGAAAUAAAAUGCAUAUUCUAACGGAGACUUUCCUCUCCAUUUAUAUUUAUUCACAUCCUGUAGUACAGUCAUUCAACUGCUGAUAAAUUCUACAAUUCUAUUAUUACAUCCAGUCUGCUUUCUUCAUCUGAUCCACAAGGAUUUUAUGAGAUAUUUUUUCAAUUACCUUAUAAAUCCAGAGAUAUUCUCAUUUGUUCCAUUUACCUGUCUGCUAAUAUUUUGAAUAAAGAAAACUAAGUCACCCUACCAGUUCUACCUCUUAGCAAACAAGAUUGGCUUCUUAUACCCAUAAUUUCCUUUCAGUAGUGCUCUCAAAUUAUGCUUCUAAAUCUAUGAUUUAAAAGCUUGCUUAGUUACAGCAAUAGACUAGAGUUCACAGAGUUUACCUUCUUCCCACUUAAAAAAAUAGAAGUGGGGGUUACAGCAGAGUGUAAACUCAUAAGUAUGGCAGAAGGUUAUCAUUUUUUUUACUUCAUUCAAUUCUAACAACAAGAGGCAUGUAUAAUUAUUCCUGCUUUACAGGUAAGAAAAAGAAGGCUCAGAGAGAUCAAUUAUCUUGCCCAUGAUCCCAUAUCUAGUGAGUGGCAGAGGGAGGACUGACCCUGGGUCUGACUUCAAAGCUUAUGCUCUCUCUACCACUUCACCUGCCUCAGAACUACAUCUGUUUAUUCUGGUCUUCUGAUUGCUUACUGUGGUUCCUCAAAUCUCACCAUUAUGCUAUGUUUAAACACUUUUUCCUCAUAGUCACUGAAAAUCUACACUGAAAAAAAAGUGUUCAGGAGCCUUAAAGCUCUUGUGUGUACACAGCUUUAUCUCUCCCCACAACACAAAUGCAGGCAAGAUUGGAAGAGGUCAUGUCUUUAGCCAUAGGUCUCAGCCAAGGGACAUAGAGGAUUAGAAAGGUGGGGUUCUUGGCCCAUGAGUCUCCUCCCAGAUGCCUUCAUUUCGGUCUUCUUCUUCCAGUCCUAGAUAUUUUUUAUGCUCCCUUCUCCAGUAUGACUCUUGUCCAGGUUUUUGAAAAGAUCACUGUCUUUUAAAGGUAGUGGAGGAAGAAAGGGAAGAGCAGAACAAUGGAUGAGGAAAUUGUAUUUGCAGCCUUGGACCCUGUAUCAGGAGUUAGGAGUACUUUUCUGUCUUCUUCAUGUAACAUGUCUUCACAGAUUUAAGGCAAUCCUAGUAUUCUUACUUUGAAAGGGGCAACAAUGGGAUUCCAAAUUCAUCCGUUUAUUUCCCCUAGCUUAGUGUUUUCCCCCAAAAAAAGUUUUAAUAUGAUCCACAGUAAGAAGUACAUUUUUCAUUAUGAACAAAUUCUUAUCUUUGUAAGUAUAUAAUUAGAACAAGUUUCAUGAAACAACACUUACUCUUACCAUAUGUAAUGCCCUCUCAUGUUUUCUUAAUGAUGCUUCUCGAACUUUAAUGUGCUCAUUCAUCAGCUAGAGAUUUUGUUAAAUAUGAGGUUCUGAUUCAGUAUCCAGGGUGGAGACCGCAUUUUAACAAACUCCUACGUGGAUGCUUCUGUUUCUUGGAUUGCACUUUGAGAAGCAAAGUUCUAUUCUGUAUUGUUUUAUUUAAAUGUUAAAUUACUUUUAGGACUCCCAAAUGUGUCUGGACUGGCAGUUUGUAAAAGCAUUGCUGGUGUAUUGGGGCAGCAUGCCUAUCUAGGAUAUUCUUGUAAACAUAGACUUACUGUGGAGUGGGAUCAUGCUUGGAAGUAGUUCAGCAAGAAACAGGAUUUAUCUUCCAUAUACCAAGACCAGAGAAUCACAGAAGUAAAGACAUGAAUAUCUUCCUGAAAUUGCUUUUUUUAAAAUUUCAACAUUUGAUAUAGUGAAUACAUCUAUUACAAUUUGGAAUAAAUAAAUCUAAAUAUUCUGCAUAAUGAGGACUUAUGAAUGUGUGUGAAAAGAAAGUUGCAAAAGUUGACUGAAGGUGAAUAUGGCAAUGAUGUAAGUAUCAGGGGGAAUAAAACAUUUCCUGUAGUAUGAUCUUCUUUUGUCUGCAAUAUGAAUGCAUACUGUAUCAGUCAGGGUUCUUGUUUUCAAGUAACACAAACCAACUCCAACUAACUUAAUAAAAACAACACUGAGGGAUUCCAGAAGAGAGGGCAGCUGGGAGGCCCAAAGUUAAAAAUGAGCAAGAAUCCCUUUAGAGGACUGGGGAAAAAAAAAUCAAAGCCAUAGUCUCAGAGCUGAACCAAUCUGGUCAGGCUGUCCCUGCUGAGAUUGAUGAACUUGAACCAUUUCUUUCCUUAGUCUUCACAUGAUGCUCUCAAGAUCAAAGUCACAGGAGAGAGCAUUCAUUUGACUGAACUUAGGUUUUGCACUUCCUCCUGACUAUUCUGAGAAAACAGGAAGGCUUUGGCCCUUCAAACUUCCAUAGUGAGACAGGUGCCUGAUACACCAUCCUUCCAGAAGCACAGAAAAGUGGGGAGAGGGGAUGUUGUCCCAAAAAGAAAAGAGGAUACCACUGGGAAAAGAAACUAUUAGAUUGGUACAAAAAUAAUUCCAGGUUUUGCCAUUAAAAGUAAUUAGAAGUAAUGGCAAAGCCUGCAAUUACUUUUGCACCAAUGCAAUAGAUUCUAAGUCAUCAAUAAACUAUACUGGACACAGCGCUGCGAAUUGGUCAGGCCUUUAUUACAAGUAUAGCAGUAAAGUAAAUGGGAUUUCAAUUUUGGGGAACCAUGGGCAUAGUCUCAGAGAGUAAAUCAUAAUUGGUGCAUAUUUGAACGUGUAUCCAAAUCCACUCCUUGAAGGACUUAAUAAAAGGCAUCAGAAAACCAACUUCGACACCACCAGAAACCACUGCUGCAGCUACCCCAACCCCUAUUCCUUUUCCCCUAUAGGAAAAAACUAAGAAACUCAAGAGGAGUCAUCAGAAUUCCUGCCAUGUGGGAGUCAUCAACCCAAUGGGUGACUUCUUUUCUGCUCCACAUAUAAGAGUGUUUUCGUCUCCUAUUCCAAGCAAGUAGCCAGGCUAAUUGCCGCCUUACUUCAGGGAAGUCUGUGGCAGAAGCUUGAAAGCAAAUGACCUACUACACCUGCUUGUGUCCUGGUCUUCAAGAGCUUGGGUUCCUGAAGUGGAUUAUGCUGGAGGAACACAGGUAGAAGCAGAAGUAACAAAGGAGAGAAGGAGACUGCCCUACUGCCCUAUACCAGGAAGGUGUGGUGGUUUCCACAAUCAUCAAGGGGCCUGUGUCCUACUUCUAGCAGAACCUGGGGAAGAAGACAAGGAUUCUGCGGAGCCUAACUGUGUGGUGAAGCUAGGGAGGCUGUACCCUUGGCAACAGGGCUUCCAUUGUGAAGAAAGAUGCCUGCAGGCCAAGAAGAGCAGAGAAACAGAGUCACUGCCAUUCAACAGUUCAUGACAACUUCAACAAUAGGGCCACCAUAAUGAGCCAAAAAUUAGGAGCAAUUCUCCUGUGUUUUAAGGAACCACAAAGUCUCUGAGAGACUGAAGAAGAGAGAACACCCAAAUGACAAAUUAAAUUUACCUCCAGCAAGGUGGGAUUAAGGCUCACAGAAAUAUCCAGCACACUCUCCUCACAUCUACUGGGGUCCAAGGCCUCAACAGCACAGUCUCCUCAACCUGCUGCUCCAGACAUUUCGCUUUUCUUCCUCUGCUUGAAUCCUACAAUCGCAAUGCUUUCCUGCCUCUGUGUUUGCUUGGAAUUUUUUGUCCUUUGGCAAUUUAAUGCUUGUAUUCAUCCAUUUAAUAAUAAGUGCCCAUCUUUUCUAUCUUCAAAUACUUGCCCUUCAUAAGGUUCUCCCUGACCCCUCUGAAAAGCCAUAAUUUCCUCCUUUACAUCUCCAAGUUUUGUACUUCUCUUGGGACAUUUACCCUGUACUACUUUUUGUUAUCAUUUCACAUCUGCUCCUCCCAACAUCUUAAACAUUUAUUGAACAUCUACUAAGCAUCCUAAAGACAGUGACUGUUUCCCAAGUACCUAGCAUAACACCAUAUGCCAUUGACCUUAGGACACUAAACUGAACAGAGCACAGAGCCUGUCCUCAAAGUUCUCAAAGUCUAUGUAUCAUGCUCAGGGAUCACAGGAUUGUAUGUAGUAACUUCUCAGCCUUUGUUGAUCUUGAUUGUCAGCACUUUAAAGCUCCAUUCAGCUACUUAUGUAAAAUUUAAGCAAAAUGAGGAAGAUAAUUUCGUUGGAGAGAAAGCUUCUGGAUGCUUCAGAAUAUGCCACCUCACCUGAAUGGUAACCAUUACACUUGUAAAUAAGAUAAAAUAGCAAGAAAAAUAUAAACAUAUGCUUUGAUUAUUUCCUUUUUGAAAAUCAAUAAGAUCAUUUUUAUUUUCAAAGAAAAUGUGCAA